AUGUUAAAUUCUGCAGGUCGUGAAGUUCUUAUUAAAGCGGACAUGCAAGCAAUACCCACAUAUUCAAUGAGUUGUUUUAGCCUCUCAAAAACUACUUGCAAGAAGAUGACCCCGUCAAUGGCAAAUUUUUGGUGGGGAGGUGAUGGGGAUAAUCAGAGAAUGCAUUGGAGAAAAUGGGAGGAGUUCGCACAGCCAAAGAAAGCUGGAGUUUUGGCUGGGAAAUACUUCCAUAACAUGGAAUUUAUGAACGCAAAGAAGAAGAAGAAUAGCUCACAUGUUUGGCAAGCUAUCUUAAAAGGAAGAGCAGCACUUCACUUAGGCCUGAUCAAGAGAAUUAGAGAUGGAAAGUCUACCAAUAUAUGGGAAGAUAAAUGGAUUCCAACAAUUCCAAGAGGGAAACCAAAGGAGAGAAGGUACAACUGUCUUAAAUGUAUCAGAUCUUCUGAAUGA
rnacentral:rRNA from 1 species